AUAAAAUGAAGUUACAUCACUUCCGUCAUGAAGUUGCAUCGCUCCGACGUCAGGUGGCGUACGGCCAGAGCUGCGUGAAGUCGGGGAGUCACUACAGAGUCGUCGUGUCGAGCGGACGUGUACUGCCGUUCUAGUCGGGCAGUCUACCGCGAACCAUCGUCAUGAGCGGACGUGUCGAAUAAUUACGAGGAGUGCUAUAGUCGCUCACCUAUAACUUGUAGGGACGUCAAGAAAGUGUGAUCGGAAAAGAGUACCUAGCAAGUACGUUCACAUGUCCCGAUGAUUCGGUCCGAAUAUAGGAACCAUGGGUGGUGGAGGGCAAGUAGAGGGCGAGUAGCCCCUUCGCGCUAACGUCCUUAUGCGCGCUAGAUAACGAGAGACUGUGUAACCGUUACGAAUACCGUGACGUUGCCGUGAGUGUGUACCUUAUGCUGUGACUUUAUUUAAUCGUGAUACAAAAACUAUGUGGAAGUAAAUAAAAUGAUUGUGAUACUGAUGACGGCCAUUAUUGUCUUCUAACGCCCACUCUUCAAACGCCCACCCAUCCCUUCUGACAUCACACCACUGUUACGACAUCAGAAGUGGGAUUAGUGGACUUGGAUGAAGACAACGUGAUGCGACGUUCACAGCAAGACAAUGCAAGUUUCGAUUAUCACAAUCAGAAGAAGAUUAUGAUGAUUAUCACAUUCGUGUGACCACGUGAUGAAGAUGUAGUGUCAUGCCUGAAUUUGGAGAUGGACCUGACUUUGAAGUGACCUGGACCUUGUUAAUGAUCGGCAUCACUACAUGCCGUGAGAUAUAAUGGCGUGAACAUCACAAUAUGUCCAUACUGUGUGCUGUCGUGUUUGAAAAUUAUGGAACCUGAAAUUGAAAACUGUUAUUACGGUGAGUCGUUUUCAUACUGGAACCUUAUUGUUAUUGACUUUAUUGCUGGGUAAAUUUCCGUUUCUAGUAAUGAGGAAAAUUGCUUUUUUUAAAAACCAAAUUGGCGAGACAUAUUGUGUCAAUCCGUGUCAAUCAUACCGCGUUUUCCAAUCUGUUUUCAUCAUUGUUAAAUCUUUGUAUUUUGGUCUAAAAAUAUUUCGAAUUGGUGUAGACACGCUUAACCUGCGUGGUUAAAGUUGUAUUUUCUCACUCCAAGCGGGUGGAGGUUAGUCAUGAUAUGAUGUCUUGUUAAAUAACGUGUUUUGUAAUCUACCGUCAUUCAUCAAAUGUUUCAAUAUUCAACAUUCUUUAUUGUAAUCUUUUUAAACUGAUUGAAAGAAAGUCAUGUGAAUACGAUAAUACAGUGAAUUCUUUUGUUUCAUGUCAUAACUUGGUUCGGCAAUUGGUGGAUUGCAAGCGGGGAAGAAAAUGGCGCGGGAUGAGCCGUAGCCGUGUAAAGUGACGACAUCAUGGCAGCGCGUUGUAUACCAGCCGGACUUGCUGCGCUGGUGCUGUUGAAGACCUAAACCAUGUCACAAGACCAGUGGUUGAUCUUUUAUUGGAAAUUCUUAUACGUCCCGGUGAGUCGUAUCUGUUUUACCUGAUUUGAAUAAUGGAUUUUUUUAUUAGGAUUCAAACGAAUAUAGUGCAGAAAGUUCUCUUUUGUUAACUUUAGUUAAAUUGGAAAUCGUAAUGAAGUGAAGUAAACAUUGCGAAGUAAAAUGAUUUGGAUUAUGAUUACUUAAAUGAAAUAGGCUUAGAAAAUGCCCGAAACAGUAAAUCAUUAGUGAGAAAAUUGGAGCAAAACAUUCUAAAUGAUGAUCAUACCGAAUCAGUAAUUGUGUAAGUGCGGUAAUAUUUCCUCGAGGUGUUGGUCGCUACAUUGUGACUUUAUGACUUGUGUGUGUGAGAGCAGGGUGCUCUGUCGUUUUGUGGUCGUGGACCAUGGUGGCCAUCCCGGGAGGGGAUGUUGUGACUCAUGACUGUUUUGUAGCGUAACGGCAGUUUGGGGAGGAAUAUUACAGCCUGUUGUGCUUUGCAGUAGAUGUGUAAUGUUGGUUGAUUUAAUUGAGUAAUGAAAGCUAUGAUUGACCUGUUUCGGAGCAACUCUGAUAGGAAGCUGCGCACUUGUAGUGUUCGGGGCUGCAGCCACUUUUGUGCUGCUCGUCUUAGAAACUACAGGUAUGCGGUCGAGGCCUGGAUGUCAUGUUGACUUUGUAUUUGGUCAUGACAUUGUACCUGAAUCUAAGUCAAGUUGACCUCCGGUAGAAUUAGUCGAACUGCACAAAUUAGAAAUUAGUGAUGUAGAAGAAAUUGUGUAACGCAUUGACCACUAUUCUACCAACUAAAAUGUAAAGUUUGUGUGCUAGCUGUGUUGAGAUAUCGUCACUUGGUGUAAGUGGCAUGAGUUGCUGUCGCUCGAUUUAGGUGGCAGUGACGACUGUGUUGAGAUAUCGUCACUUGGUGUAAGUGGCAUGAGUUGCUGUCGCUCGAUUUAGGUGGCAGCAACGACUGUGUUGAGAUAUCGUCACUUGGUGUAAGUGGCAUGAGUUGCUACCGCUCGAUUUAGGUGGUAGUGACGCCUGGUUUUGAGAUAUCGUCGCUCAGUAAAGUGGCAUGAGUUACUAUCGCUCGUUUAGGUGAUAGUAACGACAGACGUGUAAAGAGUAAUUGGAUUUUCAAGUUUGGUUGUUUAUAGUGUGUGAAUACUGGUCAAUGGUCCGUGUAUUGUUAGUUGAUGAUUUAUCAUGAUGUCAUGAGAGCUCGUGUAGAGUCACAAGUAGAGCUCGUGUAGAGUCACAAGUAGAGCUCGUGUAGAGUCACAAGUAGAGCUCGUAUAGAGUCACAAGUAGAGCUCGUGUAGAGUCACAAGUAGAGCUCGUGUAGAGUCACAAGUAGAGCUCGUGUAGAGUCACAAGUAGAGCUCGUGUAGAGUCACAAGUAGAGCUCGUGUAGAGUCACAAGUAGAGCUCGUGUAGAGUCACAAGUAGAGCUCGUGUAGAGUCACAAGUAGAGCUCGUGUAGAGUCACAAGUAGAGCUCGUGUAGAGUCACAAGUAGAGCUCGUGUAGAGUCACAAGUAGAGCUCUUGUAGAGUCACAAGUAGAGCUCUUGUAGAGUCACAAGUAGAGCUCGUGUAGAGUCACAAGUAGAGUCUCAUGUUGGUCAGGAAUGACCGAGCGAACUUGGAUACUGUGCUGUGGUAUGUUGUUUCAGAUUAACACACGAGGACGUGUGUCGCGCAGGAUGGCCGUGUCGGAGUUAGUUAUGAAUUAAGAAGAGAAAUUGAUCAAAUCGGGAAAUAAAAUGAAGUUACAUCACUUCCGUCAUGAAGUUGCAUCGCUCCGACGUCAGGUGGCGUACGGCCAGAGCUGCGUGAAGUCGGGGAGUCACUACAGAGUCGUCGUGUCGAGCGGACGUGUACUGCCGUUCUAGUCGGGCAGUCUACCGCGAACCAUCGUCAUGAGCGGACGUGUCGAAUAAUUACGAGGAGUGCUAUAGUCGCUCACCUAUAACUUGUAGGGACGUCAAGAAAGUGUGAUCGGAAAAGAGUACCUAGCAAGUACGUUCACAUGUCCCGAUGAUUCGGUCCGAAUAUAGGAACCAUGGGUGGUGGAGGGCAAGUAGAGGGCGAGUAGCCCCUUCGCGCUAACGUCCUUAUGCGCGCUAGAUAACGAGAGACUGUGUAACCGUUACGAAUACCGUGACGUUGCCGUGAGUGUGUACCUUAUGCUGUGACUUUAUUUAAUCGUGAUACAAAAACUAUGUGGAAGUAAAUAAAAUGAUUGUGAUACUGA